GAACAAUGGAUGCUGAGACAAUCCUAGCUGCUCCCAUGCAGGCUACACCCUGCUCUACUCACUGGAUAUGCUAAAUAUGAGGACCAGGCUGGGGGGGGGCAAAUGACAUAAAUACGUAAAGAAACUAAAGAAUUGAGGUAAAAAUGCCCCUUGUGCUGAUUUCAUAGAGCCAGCCUGGUUGGGUAAUUGGGUACAGAUUGUAGGUGUUUAAAUAUUCA